rnacentral:rRNA from 1 species
UGGAGGGACGCAGUAGGCUAAGGAAUGCAUGCGAUUGGAAGUGCAUGUCCAAGCAAUGAGUCUUGAGUAGAGUUAAAUGCUUUACUCUUUAAGGACAAGUUGUGACGGGGAGCGAAAUAAUAGUAGCGAAGUUCCUGAUGUCACACUGCCAAGAAAAGCUUCUAGUGAGAAAACAACUGCCCGUACCGUAAACCGACACAGGUAGUCGAGGAGAGUAUCCUAAGGUGAGCGAGCGAACUCUCGUUAAGGAACUCGGCAAAAUGACCCCGUAACUUCGGGAGAAGGGGUGCUGACUUCGGUCAGCCGCAGUGAAUAGGCCCAAGCGACUGUUUAUCAAAAACACAGGUCUCUGCAAAAUCGUAAGAUGAAGUAUAGGGGCUGACGCCUGCCCGGUGCUGGAAGGU